GACGAACGCUGGCGGCGUGGAUUAGGCAUGCAAGUCGAACGGUAGGAUACCUUCGGGUAUCUGAGAGUGGCGAACGGGUGAGUAACACGUAGGUGAUCUACCCUCAAGAUUGGGACAACCCAGGGAAACUUGGGCUAAUACCGGAUGAAAGCAGCAGUGAUGUUGUUUGAAAGGUGGCGUAAGCUGCCGUUUGGGGAUGAGCCUGCGCUCUAUUAGUUAGUUGGCGGGGUAAAGGCCCACCAAGGCGAUGAUAGAUAGGCGGCCUUAACGGGUGGUCGCCCACACUGGGAUUGAGAUACGGCCCAGACUCCUACGGGAGGCAGCAGUCGAGAAUAGUCUACAAUGGCCGAAAGGCUGAUAGUGCGACGCCGCGUGAACGAAGAAGCCCUUCGGGUGUAAGUUCUUUUAUAUGUGAGCAGUGCUUUCUAUGUGAACAGCAUGGGAGAGAGAUAUUAGCAUAUGAAUAAGCAACGGCUAACUCCGUGCCAGCACG
rnacentral:rRNA from 1 species